UGGAAGCUAGUAGUGGAUUAGAAAAAUAUUCAGUAAUACUUUAUACAUUAUUUUUUAUGUAUCAACAUAGUCAAAUUUAUAUACAGAAAUUUAAUCAACACAAAACCAGUGUUAUUAAAAUUGGGUAUUCCCAAGUAUCACAUAAACAGUUGAGGAAAAUAAACAGAGAACAGCCAUGUUAUUGCACAAGAAUAUUAACAAGCCAAGUUCUUUAACAUGCUAUAUUAUUGGCAUAUUCUUAUCUGGGUUAGUUUGGAGUACAAGCAGAAACGCUGAUGUUAAAACAUUGUGCAAUUCGCCCUGUAAAUUCAGUAAUCAUGAUGCAAUAGUUCCCCUAUAUUUAUUUCCGUUGCUAUCAAGUUAGUGGCAUUGUUUAUUCCAAAAUGGCACUACAAGGCUUGUUCCGUACCUCUAUUCUUUUUAGUUUUAAAAAUUCUGUGAUAUUUUUGUAUAUUUAGAGCCAGUGAAAAUGUUUUAGUGUGAAGUGUUUGCGAUUUUAAGUUGUUUGAAUAUUUGUGUGUGCGUUUUACGGAAAGAAUGGCAGUAAAAAAGAGCAGAUUCAAGACAAAACAACGGACACAAGAAACAUUUACUCGAGUAAACAAGUUGAAAGCUGAAAACCAAAUGUUGGAAGAGAAAGUGAAAA